GAUGAAGAACGUAGUGAAAUGCGAUAAGUAAUGUGAAUUGCAGAAUUCAGUGAAUCAUCGAAUCUUUGAACGCACAUUGCGCCCGCCAGCACUCUGGCGGGCAUGCCUGUUCGAGCGUCAUUUCGACCAUCAGGCCCUCCGGGCUUGUGUUGGGGCUCCCUGCGGCUGUCCGCAGGCCCUGAAAACCAGUGGCGGGCUUGCAAAGUCACACCGAGCGCAGUAGAUUUUUUUCAUCUCGCUCAGGGCGUGCGUGCGGGCGCCGGCCGUAAAAGACGAGAGCGCGGCCUCGGCCGCCCACAAAUACCACAAGGUUGACCUCGGAUCAGGUAGGAAUACCCGCUGAACUUAAGCAUAUCAAUAAGCGGAGGA
rnacentral:misc_RNA from 1 species